UUAGAAAACUCUCUGGUUCUCUCAAGCCUUCAUCACUACGCAGAGUUAGCACUGCACCCUUGCCUAGGAACAGUAAUGGAAAUGCAAUCACUUUUUUGCAACUGGCUCAGAUGAAUGAAACGGACGGAAACAACCGGAAUGAAA